rnacentral:rRNA from 1 species
AGCAGCCGCGGUAAUUCCAGCUCCAAUAGCGUAUAUUAAGGUUGUUGCAGUUAAAAAGCUCGUAGUUGAAUUUCGGGGUUAGUAGGUUGGUCAUGCCUCUGGUGUGCACUGGUCUUACUGAUUCCUCCUUCCUGAUGAACCGUAAUGCCAUUAAUUUGGUGUUGCGGGGAAACUGGACUGUUACUUUGAAAAAAUUAGAGUGUUUAAAGCAGGCUAACGCUUGAAUACAUUAGCAUGGAAUAAUGAAAUAGGACGUUCGAUCUUAUUUUGUUGGUUUCUAGGAUUGACGUAAUGAUUAAUAGGGAUAGUUGGGGGCAUUAGUAUUCAAUUGUCAGAGGUGAAAUUCUUGGAUUUAUUGAAGACUAACUACUGCGAAAGCAUUUGCCAAGGAUGUUUUCAUUAAUCAAGAACGAAAGUUAGGGGAUCGAAGACGAUCAGAUACCGUCGUAG